AAUGCUUAGGAAUCUGCCUAUUAGUGGGGGACAACAUUCCGAAAGGAAUGCUAAUACCGCAUACGCCCUACGGGGGAAAGCAGGGGAUCUUCGGACCUUGCGCUAAUAGAUGAGCCUAAGUCAGAUUAGCUAGUUGGUGGGGUAAAGGCCUACCAAGGCGACGAUCUGUAGCGGGUCUGAGAGGAUGAUCCGCCACACUGGGACUGAGACACGGCCCAGACUCCUACGGGAGGCAGCAGUGGGGAAUAUUGGACAAUGGGCGCAAGCCUGAUCCAGCCAUGCCGCGUGUGUGAAGAAGGCCUUUUGGUUGUAAAGCACUUUAAGCGAGGAGGAGGCUACUUGGAUUAAUACUCUAGGAUAGUGGACGUUACUCGCAGAAUAAGCACCGGCUAACUCUGUGCCAGCAGCCGCGGUAAUACAGAGGGUGCGAGCGUUAAUCGGAUUUACUGGGCGUAAAGCGUGCGUAGGCGGCUUCUUAAGUCGGAUGUGAAAUCCCUGAGCUUAACUUAGGAAUUGCAUUCGAUACUGGGAAGCUAGAGUAUGGGAGAGGAUGGGUAGAAUUCCAGGUGUAGCGGUGAAAUGCGUAGAGAUCUGGAGG
rnacentral:rRNA from 1 species